rnacentral:rRNA from 1 species
UACGGGGGGGGCAAGCGUUGUUCGGAAUUACUGGGCGUAAAGGGUUCGUAGGUGGCCUGCUAAGUCACACGUGAAAUCCCUCAGCUUAACUGGGGAACUGCGUGUGAUACUGGCGAGCUUGAGUGCAGGAGAGGAACGCGGAAUUCCAGGUGUAGCGGUGAAAUGCGUAGAUAUCUGGGGGAACACCGGUGGCGAAGGCGGCGUUCUGGACUGCAACUGACACUGAUGAACGAAAGCCAGGGGAGCAAACGGG